rnacentral:rRNA from 1 species
CGCUGGCGGCGUGCUUAACACAUGCAAGUCGAACGGAAAGGCUCCAGCUUGCUGGAGUACUCGAGUGGCGAACGGGUGAGUAACACGUGGGUGAUCUGCCCUGCACUUCGGGAUAAGCCUGGGAAACUGGGUCUAAUACCGGAUAGGACCGCACUUUGGUGUGUGUGGUGGAAAGGUUUUUCUGGUGUGGGAUGAGCUCGCGGCCUAUCAGUUUGUUGGUGGGGUAAUGGCCUACCAAGACGGCGACGGGUAGCCGGCCUGAGAGGGUGGACGGUCACAUUGGGACUGAGAUACGGCCCAGACUCCUACGGGAGGCAGCAGUGGGGAAUAUUGCACAAUGGGGGAAACCCUGAUGCAGCGACGCCGCGUGGGGGAUGAAGGCCUUCGGGUUGUAAACUCCUUUCGCUAGGGACGAAGCUUUUUGUGACGGUACCUGGAGAAGAAGCACCGGCUAACUACGUGCCAGCAGCCGCGGUAAUACGUAGGGUGCGAGCGUUGUCCGGAAUUACUGGGCGUAAAGGGCUCGUAGGUGGUGUGUCGCGUCGUCUGUGAAAU